UACGUAGGGGGCUAGCGUUGUCCGGAAUCAUUGGGCGUAAAGAGCGUGUAGGCGGCUUUACAGGUCCGUUGUGAAAACUCGAGGCUCAACUUCGAGCUGUCGGUGGAAACUUUCUGGCUAGAGUCCGGAAGAGGAGAAUGGAAUUCCUGGUGUAGCGGUGAAAUGCGCAGAUAUCAGGAGGAACACCAAUGGCGAAGGCAGCUCGCUGGGACGGUACUGACGCUGAGACGCGAAAGCGUGGGGAGCAAACAGG
rnacentral:rRNA from 1 species